rnacentral:rRNA from 1 species
GACGGAGGGUGCGAGCGUUAUUCGGAUUUAUUGGGCGUAAAGAGCGUGUAGGCGGCCGGCCAAGCCAGAGGUGAAAGCCCAGGGCUCAACCCUGGAAGUGCCUUUGGAACUGGCCGACUUGAGUUCGGGAGAGGGAAGUGGAAUUCCGGGUGUAGAGGUGAAAUUCGUAGAUAUCCGGAGGAACACCGGUGGCGAAGGCGACUUCCUGGACCGAAACUGACGCUGAGACGCGAAAGCGUGGGGAGCAAACAGG